CCAGCCAACAUGGACGCUUGUUACGGCGGUACGUCGCGGUCGAGGACCCGUUAGAAACGACCUUGUUCAACGGCGAUUUGCGACAAGACGCGUAUUCGUUGCCUAAUUCUGAUCGGCUAACCUGUGGUUGCGUGAAGUCGAAGAAUAUGCCACCAUAAGUUUGCGCAAGGUGUUGUUAACCUCACUGCUUCGAGUCACCAUUGUGUCGGAGCUUUCCCGCCAAGCUGACCAGCGAACAAGUUUUGUGGAUUUCGGUAUCAGGUAGCAAACAGAAGUGCCCCGACGAGCUGUGCAGGGCUGGCCACGCGGUGAGCCAAGCAUCCCAUAAGAGGUGCUUCUUCAGCAUCUGUGGCUAACUCAAAGGAAUCACCUACAAAAAGCAGUGAUACAAGAAUGUGAGCCACAAGUUCUUUUCAACGAAUGGAUCAGGUGCCUGAGAGCCACGGGCCGGCUGCUUCUGGCCUACACAGACAGUGCAGCCACCACAGUAAAACUCUUGCAAAGACAUUCUACAAAAACUGGCCCAAACGCGGACGGAAGGCAGUACAGAUGGACACACAGGCUGCUUCAGAAACUGUGACUGAGCAUUAACCUACAUACAAAAAAGGAGCCAAGUGGAGCUGUUCAUGGGCCAUGCACACAGUUUCAUAAGCGGAUUUUCAGCACUUUUGACAAU